GGCUGCGCAAGUACUUCUCAUAGAGCCACCGGGAAAUAAUCAGAGCAUUUCCAUUGCUGUCCACUGGGAAGUUGUUCCUACUUUUCUGCCAGUUAUUUGUGAGCUUUAUCCACUCUCUCCUCCAAUCAUUCAAUGGGAAACCAUGCCCAUUUUCCAAACUUGACAUUAAGUAUUUAAAGUAGAUAGCUGCUCGGGGACCAUAGUAAUCUAGCAGAAGACCACUCCAGUACUUGUUCCCAUAGUCACGAAGAAGACUCGCCUCAUCCUCUGU
rnacentral:misc_RNA from 1 species